CUUACGGGACUUGCUAGAGAUACAGAAUCCCAUAUAUUGAUUUCUCUCUCAAUGAUAUAUCCCCCCAAAAAAAAAAUAAAAUGGAAGAAGAACGCAUCAACCUUUUCCCUCAAUUUCUCAGACGAAUUCACGCCGGAGCGUCUCCCUCCAUCUACGACGAGUUCUCUUCCCCGUCGGGCUCUCUCUCCCUCGUCGAGCUCUCUCUCUCUUCGAGUUCUCUCUCUCCCCCGUCGAGCUCCCCGUCAGGUUCUCCACGCUGCGGAGCCGUCGGUUCGGGAAGACAAAAGGCAUCGCCUUUCCUUUCGCGGCUGGCCGUUCCCGACGCUGCACGGGAAGGCUCCGGUUGCCGCCGCGCUUCGCUGUCGGACCUUGCGAGUGACGCCGCUGACCGCCAGCCUUGCGGCGUCGGUCGACCCCUUCUCCUGCAGCUAAGUCACCCUUUUCCCCUUUUAAUUAUUCCGUAAAUCUGAGUUCUCGAUUGGUUAUUUGAUUCGAAGUUUGGGUGCAGUUUAGUCACUGGAAAGGGCUUGUUAUUUGUUUUACUAUAUUAGUUCUUGCUCCUAUGGUUCUCAUACUUGGGGUCUACUGAUCUGGAAAGCACUCACUCAUUAGCUAUGCACUAGUACCAUUUCUCGAUGCUUGCUCUUUAUACUUGCUAGUGUGUGAAUGUAGGGAAAGCUUAGGAUUAUUCUUUUUAGUUUGUGAAAUUUGUUAUGCUACUUGGAUUGAUUUUAGAAUUUAUCUCAUAAGUAUGAUUUACAUUACACCAAAUGAAGGGAAAUGAGUAUUCUUGGCAUGAUGAAGUUUGUGACAGCCUAUAGCUAAGUGUGAAACUUGAUGAUGUUGGUAUACUUUUGGUUAAAGAUGUUCACGAUAAGUGAGAUAUACAUGUUCAGGAAUAUUAACUGUAAGCUUAAGUCAAAGCUGGUGAAAUAUGGUGAAUCUUUAUAGUAUCUUAUUUAAAUUGGUCUUAGAACUCAAGUUCUAAUGCUUUAGCAAUAAUUGGUCUCAAGAUGUAGGUUUGAGAUAUUGAGCAUGUAUAAUAUUCUUGAUAAGCUAAGUAUAUGUGGUUAAAAGUAACUAAGAGGAGAAUAUGAUUCAUGUUUGAAGUAUUCAAGUAGAAUAAUUGUUGUGGUGAAAGAAACAGAGGAUAUAGCUUUUGUGACAUGUUCUGACAGAGUUUAUUUAACUUCAGUUAACCAAGUAAACGACCUCUUUUUAUUACCAAAUUUUAGCUGAACAUAGUUUUGCUUGUCUUCUGCCCUGUCACCGAAAUUCAGCUUCAUCCGAGUUCAAAUAGAUUUAUAGUGAUUUUUCCAAUACAAUCUGCCCUGUUCAAGCUGGUUAGGGGAAAAACGAUUAUAAACUCUAAAUGGCUAGGAAUUUCCAGCUCAUAAUUCAUCCCUACAAAUUACACAUGUAUGAACUUAUUUUUGCCUCUGAUUUUGUUGAGUUUCGACUUCUGAGUCGGUCUGAAUGAUUUUUUUCAUAGUCGGUGCAUUUUCUGUAAAAUAUUGGGAUAUGAUAAAAUUUGAAAUGCUUAUGCUUCAACCUUAUUUUGGACAAGUGUAUGAAGUUAUGAUUCCUAAUGUGAAAUCUUGAAGGAGAAAUAGUUGUUUUUGACUAAUCUAAUGUCUUAUAGAAUAUAUGCAUAAAUAAAAGACAAGAAUUAUGAAAUUAAGUUAGAAAAUAAUGGUUAACAGUAUGAAUUUGAUACUUUAUAUUCGAAAGUGAAAUAUAUAUUGAAGGGUAAUCCUAUCCCAGGAAAUAACAAGGGCAAGAAGGAGGAGCAUGAAUAAAGUGAUUCGUGUGUCAAGGGCGUUUUGGAUUUCGAGAUUAGGUGACCAUAUAAGCUCCUUUGCUUCACAGCUGCUCAAGUCGAGUCACUAGUCAACUCCUUUGCUUUUAAAUAAUUAUUCUGACAUAAUAGUUGUGGCAUGUAUAAGAAGUGUAAUGUAAUUAGAUCGUUUUAAUUUUUCAUAUACUUUUGUGGAACAAGUACUUUUUUUUACAAAUAGUUAUCCAGGUUGUGUCAUAUAUAUAUAGAUGUUAUAUUGCA